rnacentral:rRNA from 2 species
AACGAGACCUUAACCUGCUAAAUAGCCCGUAUUGCUUUGGCAGUACGCUGGCUUCUUAGAGGGACUAUCGGCUCAAGCCGAUGGAAGUUUGAGGCAAUAACAGGUCUGUGAUGCCCUUAGAUGUUCUGGGCCGCACGCGCGCUACACUGACGGAGCCAGCGAGUUCUCCCUUGACCGGAAGGUCCGGGUAAUCUUGUGAAACUC